UAUACAGACCUACGCUUUAGUUGGACACUUUCCCCCAAAUUGCUUUAGCCUUUUUCGCGUUCCCUCUCAGAUGCAAACCCUUCUCCUUCACCUUCCCUCAAUUUCAUUAUCAAAUUUUCACUUAAUUUCGUCCUAUCAGUAAGCAAUUCACUACUCUUUCUCAUCUCGGUGCAUCGACCAUCACUAUUCCUCAUCACUCGGUAAAACCCUAAUUUUCUUCCCUGCCAUCCAAAAUCCAGAGUCAUAGAAUAGCUGAGGAGUGGAAUCCUUAGUCAAUCAAAGAUCAAAAUUCAGGUGCAGGGAAGAAAAAGAAGAGAGAUAUUCAUUGCCACCAAACCCUCCAUAUAGUAGAAUCCCUGGGUCAGAUCUGGCUCCUUAUGACAAGCAAGUGUGUGAUAUUAGGUUUCAUUGGUACUGCUGCAAUUGUUAUCAAACAUGGUGAUGAUAGCAAUAGCACAAGUGGUGAUGAUAACAACAGCAUAAGUAUUGCUGUUGUGACAAAGGCUUAUCUCAUGGAAUGUAAUUUGGACUCGAGUGUACAUGUGGGGGGCUUUCAAUGGAGGAGUCCUUUAGGAAUCAAUUACAGCCUACAGAAUUUGGUGAAGUUCAGAGAAACUCCUGAACAGAAUUCUCUCAAGGGAAUGAAAGAUCCAAAACUUGAUUGAAAUCUAAAGACACAAAAAGAAGAUGGGCCAAGGAGAUCAGGUCUUGUCACUUGCAUGCUACUCAAAGAAGACUCGGUAAAUUUAGAUGACGCUAUGGAUCGAGACUGCAAAUAAUGUUGUUUUGUUGGAAAUAACUGCUGCCUUAACACUUGUUUUAGCUAGAGCAAAUGGAGCAGUAACUUGAGAAAAUUCUUGAUUCUGUACAGUUGAGGGCUGCAGAGAGAAUCAAGAAGAGUAGUACUUGGUGGAGAGAUGGAUUCGGCCUUGGCAACAGAGGGAUCAAAUGUAUAUGAUAGAAGGUCUGCUUAAAGAAGCUUUUUGGAUAAAAUGGUGGAGCUGUUUAUCUUCGCAGAUAUCCGUAAUUUCCUUAAUGCAAGUCUUUUGGCCAUAAGGGCCAAGCUCUUUAUCUUUUCAAUCUUCUCCAUUUUUUCUUUCUUCUAAUUUUAGGUAGGAAAGCUUAGUUGUUUCCAAUUUGACUUGUGUACUUUUUGCAUUUUAUCAAUUUUGUCCAACUUUUUUAUCUACCUAUUUUCCCAUAUGUUGAAUACUUAAUGAGCAUAUAUUAUUGGCCUUUGAAUAUUAGCUUGCAUCUUUCAUAUAGACUUUGUUCUUUGAUAUGAUGUAUUUUAAAUACUUAGCCUUCUGUCUUUUUCAUCAGGUAGCUAAUGGAUGAUGAUGUUGUUUUUAGCAGGUUAAUAGGUCUCUUGAAAUUUGUUGAUUAUUUAUAAUCUUUAUCACUAUGCUGCUCUUGAAGAUUUUGUGAGUUCAAAUAUGACUUGCAUGCAGUGCAGCUAGCCAUGAGGAAAUUGAUGUAGAUAGGAACUUUUAGGAAUUUUGUAUUUGGUUUCAUUCAAACAAUACUUUGAUCAAUAAUAUAUAAUUUUGGUUAGUAAUGGCAUUCAUAGAUCAUUGGUUUUCAAUAUAUAUAUUUUUUGUUUCA